rnacentral:rRNA from 1 species
UACGUAGGCAGCAAGCGUUGUUCGGAGUUACUGGGCGUAAAGGGUGUGUAGGCGGUUCUUUAAGUUUUCUGUGAAAUCUCCCGGCUUAACCGGGAGGGUGCGGUGAAUACUGAGGGACUAGAGUACGGGAGAGGAAAGUGGAAUUCCUGGUGUAGCGGUGAAAUGCGUAGAUAUCAGGAGGAACACCGGUGGUGUAGACGGCUUUCUGGACCGACACUGACGCUGAGACACGAAAGCGUGGGUAGCAAACAGG